AUUGAACGCUGGCGGCAGGCCUAACACAUGCAAGUCGGACGAGCGGCGGACGGGUGAGUAAUGUAUGGGGAACUGCCUGAUGGAGGGGGAUAACUACUGGAAACGGUAGCUAAUACCGCAUACCAUCAGAUGCACCCAGAUGGGAUUAGCUUGUUGGUAGGGUAACGGCUCACCAAGGCGACGAUCCCUAGCUGGUCUGAGAGGAUGACCAGCCACACUGGAACUGAGACACGGUCCAGACUCCUACGGGAGGCAGCAGUGGGGAAUAUUGCACAAUGGGCGCAAGCCUGAUGCAGCCAGGCCGCGUGUAUGAAGAAGGCCUUCGGGUUGUAAAGUACUUUCAGCGGGGAGGCGUUACCCGCAGAAGAAGCACCGGCUAACUCCGUGCCAGCCGCCGCGGUAAUAC
rnacentral:rRNA from 1 species